UACGUAGGGGGCUAGCGUUGUCCGGAAUCAUUGGGCGUAAAGCGCGCGUAGGCGGCCCGGUAAGUCCGUUGUAAAAGUCAAAGGCUCAACCUUUGAAUGUCAGUGGAUACUGCCGGGCUAGAGUCCGGAAGAGGCGAGUGGAAUCCUGGUGUAGCGGUGGAAUGCGUAGAUAUCUGGAGGAACACCGGUGGCGAAGGCGGCAUCCUGGACCGGUAUUGACGCUGAGGCGCGAAAGCCAGGGGAGCAAAGCGGG
rnacentral:rRNA from 1 species